AGAGUUUGAUCCUGGCUCAGAUUGAACGCUGGCGGCAUGCCUUACACAUGCAAGUCGAACGGCAGCACGGGGGCAACCCUGGUGGCGAGUGGCGAACGGGUGAGUAAUACAUCGGAACGUGUCCUGUAGUGGGGGAUAGCCCGGCGAAAGCCGGAUUAAUACCGCAUACGCUCUACGGAGGAAAGGGGGGGAUCUUAGGACCUCUCGCUACAGGGGCGGCCGAUGGCAGAUUAGCUAGUUGGUGGGGUAAAGGCCUACCAAGGCGACGAUCUGUAGCUGGUCUGAGAGGACGACCAGCCACACUGGGACUGAGACACGGCCCAGACCCCUACGGGAGGCAGCAGUGGGGAAUUUUGGACAAUGGGGGUAACCCUGAUCCAGCAAUGCCGCGUGUGUGAAGAAGGCCUUCGGGUUGUAAAGCACUUUUGUCCGGAAAGAAAAC
rnacentral:rRNA from 1 species